rnacentral:ncRNA from 1 species
CUACGGACUUAAGUAAAAUUGAGCCUUACAGAGGAAACUCUAUAAGUGAAAGUUCUCAAAUUCAGGGAAACCUACGUUGGUUAAUUCUAAUAAGGCAAUCCUGAGCCAAGCCGAAUUUUCGGAAGGUGCAGAGACUAAACGGGAACUACCCUAACAGUAAUGCUGAGGGUAAAGAGAUAGUCCAAUUCUUAAAGCUGAAUUUAGCA